GAUGAACGCUGGCGGCGUGCCUAAUACAUGCAAGUCGAGCGAAUGGAUUAAGAGCUUGCUCUUAUGAAGUUAGCGGCGGACGGGUGAGUAACACGUGGGUAACCUGCCCAUAAGACUGGGAUAACUCCGGGAAACCGGGGCUAAUACCGGAUAACAUUUUGAACCGCAUGGUUCGAAAUUGAAAGGCGGCUUCGGCUGUCACUUAUGGAUGGACCCGCGUCGCAUUAGCCAGUUGGUGAGGUAACGGCUCACCAAGGCAACGAUGCGUAGCCGACCUGAGAGGGUGAUCGGCCACACUGGGACGGAGACACGGCCCAGACUCCUACGGGAGGCAGCAGUAGGGAAUCUUCCGCAAUGGACGAAAGUCUGACGGAGCAACGCCGCGUGAGUGAUGAAGGCUUUCGGGCCGUAAAACUCUGUUGUUAGGGAAGAACAAGUGCUAGUUGAAUAAGCUGGCACCUUGACGGUACCUAACCAGAAAGCCACGGCUAACUACGUGCCAGCAGCCGCAGUAA
rnacentral:rRNA from 1 species